CACAAUUGAAUAGGCUCCUCAAGGGCGGUCGGCUCAUCCCCUCACGAAAGGGGGUGAGCUCGGUAUGACGGAAUUUCAGACUCUGACUGUGAUGAUUGCUUUUGGUUCUCUGGUAACAGCGAUCAUCUUCGGCAUGUUGACUGUUCUCCUGUCCAUACUCAACCUGACAAAAAAGAAAUAGACCUCCCUUGAGCUUGGACGGCUAGGAGAAGGUCUAUUUCUAGCUUUACUGAGCCGACACCCUUGAAGGGUAUCUUUUGUGCCAACGGCCGUAGGUGAUAGCAACACCUGCG
rnacentral:sRNA from 1 species